UUUAUUGACAAAAGGUGUUAAUGGAAUGCAGGGGUAUUUUUGUCCAAACGGCUUUUAUUUUGUCACCUGCUUCUCUUUGAAGGCGUAUUUUUUACAGAAUCGAAGGAUAAGAAAGGCGUUGGUCGGUGCCUGCUACGUGUGAUGUUCCUAUCUAUGUUCCUUCUUAUUUUUCCACGUUCCAUUCACGGCCUCUGUUUGCCCAAUCACAUACAUACAAUUUCAGGGCUCACUCGAUUUGAACUUCUUCUCACUUCCGAUGUUUAUCUUAUUCUCCCCAAUCUCACUAUCAAUUUAGGGUUCAACCUCUACACCACCGUCAAUUUGGCAUUUGCAGAGAAAUUGAUGCAAAAUAAGUUCAGAAAUUGAAGUGGGUCACUUCUAUUUGCUUUUGAUCGAUCAUGGUUGAACCUGGAAACCUCCAGGGUUUUGAUGGAGGGACGAGUGAGGAAGUACGGACAUCACCAUCAACAAUUGAGUCCUGAUAGAGCUAAAGUCUGAAAGGGGAGGUCUCCUAGGUAUUAGAAACGUCAACCUGAGCUGGAGCUGGAGCAGGAGCAGGUAGAAAUCGACAACUUCAACGUCCUCACUUCAUUGAAGUUCCUCUUAUUUCAUCAGAGGGUCUUUUCUUAAGAGACGUGAUUGAAAAAGUCAAUGUUCUCACAGGAAGAGGCAUCGCGUCAAAGUACUCGUAGUCAGGCGAUUGCAUUCACAACAUUUUACGACUAUAAUUUGGUUUCAAGAAGAGCCCGACAAGCAGACUGAAGAACAUAUUAGCCUGAAUAUGCAUGAAGCUCUAUCACUUUUCAAGAACUGAUGGUUACUCAUUGGAUUUCUUUAUUGUUUAUGGUUGGCCAUAUGAGUUCCAGUCAUCAUCGAAGUGAUUUAAGGGGAUGCCCACCAUAUCCUUCACAUCCUAAACAUUUGUAAGUUAUGUAUCUUUUUUCAUGUGUGCAUAAUAUUAGUUGUUAAUUGUUAUACAGCAAUUUGUAAUUGAAUAUUGAAAAAAUUAUAAUUUCAAGGAAGUCGAAGGACUCUAGUUCACCGGACACCACUUUACGCAAAGGUUUCCUAGAGACAUAGAUAGUUCUAGAAGGAAGGGAAUGGAAGGGAAACCCAAGGCUAUCGGACAAAGUUGUAAGUAAAACGAAUUCACUUUUGCAGGUGAAUCAUCUAUGGAGAAAAAACGAUUGUGUUGGAACAUAUGGACUGCAUUUUCUGGUGCGGGUUGAUGAUUUUGAAAAACCUUCAGAAACAAACGUUCUUUGUUGUAAUUGGCGAAGUUGAAAGCACCCCAUCAUAUGGUUUAAAGAUACAAUAGAUGCAGCAGUUGCUUAUGUUUUCUUAAAGAAUGUACAUGUUCAAACGGGAAAAUCUGCUUCUGCUUUAUUUAGGAAUAUUGGGUUUCUUUGUUCUACAUUGAAUUUUUGGGCCAUUAUUUAUAACUGAAAAUAUGUUUCUAUAGGAAGUUUACAUGUUUUCCCUAAUCCCUAAUAAUUGAUUACCUCUGGAAAAAAAAAAAACAUGAGGCUGAAUACUUUGUAUGAAAGGGGUAUUUGAUAAAGUUGGCUAAUAUGGUAUUUUGUUG